rnacentral:misc_RNA from 1 species
GCAUGCUUUGUGGUUCAUUUCGCUUCCAUUUUUCCAUGUAACUUGUAGUAAGAAAAAGAAUCCUAUAUGCUAUGAUUUUUUUUUUAUUCUCUUGGAAAUAUCUUAUUUCUUAGAUUACUCAAAUUAUUGUCUGUUUACAAAGUCAAUGCAAAUAAAUGUUUCUCUCCUGCAUUGCUGUUUAUUUUUGUAUCCAUGAGAGUGUAU